rnacentral:tRNA from 1 species
GAAGGUAGAGCUCAGUGGUAGAGCGUGUGCUUAGUGUGCAUGAGGUUCUGGGUUCAAAUCCCCAGUACCUCUG